AUGCGCUCGGAGUUGCAACCGCUCGCAGAAAAAGCUCCUGCCCGCAACCGAAAAAGCUACUAUCGGCGGAUUGAUUUGCUACAACUGACAAUGCUAGAUGGCUGUAAAGCGUCGAACAGGAAGCUGUGCAACCCGCUUGCAAAAAAGCUUCUUCCGGCAAUGGAGAAAGCUACUACUAGCGGAUUGAUUUGCUACAACCGACGGACGCCAGAUGGCUGCAAGCGUCGAACAGGAAGCUGCAACCCAUCUACAAAAACGCUACUACCGGCAAUAGAAAAAGCUACUACAGGCGGACAUUUUUGCUACAAUGGGCGACGGUGA
rnacentral:rRNA from 1 species